rnacentral:rRNA from 1 species
AGAGUUUGAUCCUGGCUCAGAUUGAACGCUGGCGGAAUGCUUUACACAUGCAAGUCGAGCGGCAGCGCGGGGGUAACCUUGGCGGUGAGCGGCGAACGGGUGAGUAAUACAUCGGAACGUACCCAGUUGUGGGGGAUAGCCCGGCGAAAGCCGGAUUAAUACCGCAUAAGUUUUGAGGGAGAAAGCGGGGGACCGUAAGGCCUCGCGCGAUUGGAGCGGCCGAUGUCGGAUUAGCUAGUUGGUAGGGUAAAGGCCUACCAAGGCGACGAUCCGUAGCUGGUCUGAGAGGAUGACCAGCCAUACUGGGAUUGAGAUAUGGCCCAGACUCCUACGGGAGGCAGCAGUGGGGAAUUUUGGAUAAUGGGGGUAACCCUGAUCCAGCCAUUCCGCGUGAGUGAAGAAGGCCUUCGGGUUGUAAAGCUCUUUCGGCAGGAACGAAAUGGUGGUUAUUAAUACUAGCUACUAAUGGCGGUACCUGAAGAAGAAGCACCGGCUAACUACGUGCCAGCAGUUGCGGUAAUACGUAGGGUGCGAGCGUUAAUCGGAAUUACUGGGCGUAAAGCGUGCGCAGGCGGUUUUGUAAGACAGCUGUGAAAUUCCCGGGUUUAACCUGGGAACUGCGGUUGUGACUGCAAGACUGGAGUACGGCAGAGGGGGGUGGAAUUCCACGUGUAGCAGUGAAAUGCGUAGAGGUGUGGAGGAACACCGAUGGUGAAGGUAGCCCCCUGGGCUAGUACUGACGCUCAUGCACGAAAGCGUGGGGAGUAAACAGGAUUAGAUACCCUGGUAGUCCACGCCCUAAAUGAUGCCAACUAGGUGUUGGGGAAGGAGACUUCCUUAGUGUCGUAGUUAAUGUGUGAAGUUGGCCGCCUGGGGAGUACGGUCGCAAGAUUAAAACUCAAAGGAAUUGAUGGGGACCCGCACAAGCGGUGGAUGAUGUGGAUUAAUUCGAUGCAAUGCGAAAAACCUUACCUACCCUUGACAUGUCAGGAAUCCCGGAGAGAUUUGGGAGUGCUCGAAAGAGAGCCUGAACACAGGUGCUGCAUGGCUGUCGUCAGUUUGUGUCGUGAGAUGUUGGGUUAAGUCCCGCAACGAGCGCAACCCUUGUCAUUAAUUGCCAUUAUUUAGUUGGGCAUUUUAAUGAGACUGCCGGUGAUAAACCGGAGGAAGGUGGGGAUGACGUCAAGUCCUCAUGGCCCUUAUGGGUAGGGCUUCACACGUCAUACAAUGGUCGGUACAGAGGGUUGCCAACCUGUGAGGGGGAGCCAAUCCCACAAAGCCGAUCGUAGUCCGGAUUGGAGUCUGCAACUCGACUCCAUGAAGUCGGAAUCGCUAGUAAUCGUGGAUCAGCAUGUCACGGUGAAUACGUUCCCGGGUCUUGU